AUGGAGGUCAUUGGUACGUUCCUGGCAACCACCUCAGACUUUGUAGUGACAUGGUGGUUAUUUUCUACUAUCAAAGAUUUGUGCCGCACGGAGCUAUUGCCCAGAGGAAGUCCAUGGACAUGCCCCAGUACCAGAAUGAUUUACAACGAAAUGGUUGUUUGGGGUCUUAUUGGACCGAGGCAAAUGUUCUUUAAAGGUGUGUACUCAAAGUUGGUUUAUUUCUUCUUGAUCGGCAUUAUUGCGCCAAUACCUUUCUGGAUCCUUGCUCGUCGGUUCCCCGAAAAGAAGUGGAUCAAGCUCAUCCGCGUGCCAGUUCUCUUCAUGCUAGGGGCCCAAAUGCCUCCAGCUAGAGCAGUUAACUACAUAUGUUGGUUUGUGUUGGGAUUCAUUUUUAACUACAUCAUCUUCCGAAGAUGCAAAGAGUUGUGGGCAAGGUACAGCUUACUCUUCUCCGUCGCCAUGGACACCGGCAUUGCUGCAAUGGCGUUAUUGACGAUGUUGGUUCUUCAGAUGCGAGGCAUCAAUGGCAUCAACGGGUGGGGUUCGUCUGUCUCUGAUCAUUGCCCUCUAGCCACAUGCCCUACCGAACCAGGAGUUUAUGUUGAGGGGUGCCCCCUCGUUCACUAA
rnacentral:rRNA from 1 species